AGGGCCAUCGCUCAACGGAUAAAAGGUACUCCGGGGAUAACAGGCUGAUACCGCCCAAGAGUUCAUAUCGACGGCGGUGUUUGGCACCUCGAUGUCGGCUCAUCACAUCCUGGGGCUGAAGUCGGUCCCAAGGGUAUGGCUGUUCGCCAUUUAAAGUGGUACGCGAGCUGGGUUUAGAACGUCGUGAGACAGUUCGGUCCCUAUCUGCCGUGGGCGUUGGAAGAUUGAAGGGGGCUGCUCCUAGUACGAGAGGACCGGAGUGGACGAACCUCUGGUGUUCGGGUUGUGAUGCCAAUCGCAUUGCCCGGUAGCUAAGUUCGGAAUCGAUAACCGCUGAAAGCAUCUAAGCGGGAAGCGAGCCCUGAGAUGAGUCUUCCCUGGCGCUUUAAGCGUCCUAAAGGGUUGUUCGAGACUAGAACGUUGAUAGGCAGGGUGUGUAAGCGUUGUGAGGCGUUGAGCUAACCUGUACUAAUUGCCCGUGAGGCUUAACCAUACAACACCC
rnacentral:rRNA from 1 species